rnacentral:rRNA from 1 species
GACGAACGCUGGCGGCGUGCUUAACACAUGCAAGUCGAACGGAAAGGCCCUGCUUGCAGGGUACUCUCGUGUCGAACGGGUGAGUAACACAUGGGUGUUCUGCCCUCCACUUCUGGGUAUGCCUGGGAAACUGGGUCUCAUACCCCGUAUGAGCCCUCCUUCUUGUUAUUGUUGGUAAGAUUUUUCGGUGUAGGAUGAGCUCGCGGCCUAUCAGCUUGUUGGUGGGGUAAUGGGCUACCAACGCGGCGACGGGUAGCCAGCCUGAGAGGGUGGACGGCCACAAUGGGGAUGAGAAACGGGCCAGACCUCCAAGGGGAGGAGGAGGGGGGAAUAAUUGAAAAAGGGGGGAAGGCCGAUGGAGGGAAGGCGGGGGGGGGAAGAAGGGCUUUGGGUUGGAAACCCGCUUCGGUAGGGAAGAAGCUUUGUGUGACGGUAAUUAGUAAAGAAGCACCGGCUAACUACGUG